GAUGAGGAAGAAAGGAUGCAGGUGGAUGUGGAAGACCAGGUUGAGGAGAUGGAAGUUGAUGAGGAGGAUGACAUCGAGGCGAUGGAAGUGGAUGAGAAGGAUGAGGAGGAGCCCAUGGUCCUUGGAUGAAGAUGGAGCCCCACAAGACUGAUGCAGAUGAUGGCCGUACAUAUUACGCCUGUGUAUAUAUGUUUGAAAAGUUAGGAUAUUUUUGUAAAUAUGUUCUUAGGUUAGUAGUUCUCUGUAAAUAUGUUUUGAAGAUUCUUAGUCCAUAGGAUCCCAUGUAAAGAAAUCCUGUAGUUUGUUAUUGUUGUUGUUGUUGUUAUACGGAUUGUUGUAAUGAAAGGUGUUCUGUAAAUCCUAGAGUUUUGCAAUCUUUGGCAAAUAAAUACGGCUUCUUUUUAAAA